UGUUUUUAACAAAGUAACAAAUCAGGAGACAGACUGUCCUUUGGACAUCACCAUAAAAGUAGAUGACGAGAAUGACAACGCUCCAACAUUCCAAGAUGCACUGCAGUUUACUGUGCUCGAGCAAAGCAACCCAGGGACGGUGGUAGGCAAGGUGAAUGCUACAGACAGAGAUGAACCAGGAUCUCGACACGUCCAGAUCAGGUAUAGUCUCUUGACUGGAUCAGACCUGUUUGCCAUCCACCCAGCGACAGGAGUCAUCACCACAGCAACUAACACCCUGGACAGAGAGACAAGCAUACUGUGACAGUACAAAUCAAAGAUAUGGACGGUGCAGAAAAUGGUUUGUCCACCACAGGAACAGCAACCAUUGCUCUGGCUGAUAUCAACGACAACCCACCCACUUUCACAAAAACAUCUUAUGAGGCCAAUGUUGUGGAGCUUCUGUAUGAUGCAAAGGUGACAACACUGAAGAAAU